UUGACCUCGAAUCAGGUAGGAAUACCCGCUGAACUUAAGCAUAUCAAUAAGCGGAGGAAAAGAAACCAACCGGGAUUACCUCAGUAACGGCGAGUGAAGCGGUAACAGCUCAAAUUUGAAAUCUGGCUCCUCUGGAGUCCGAGUUGUAAUUUGUAGAAGAUGCUUUGGGUUGUGGGUUCGGCCUAAGUUCCUUGGAACAGGACGUCAUAGAGGGUGAGAAUCCCGUAUGUGGCCGAGGCCCGCGCCUAUGUAAAGCUCUUUCAACGAGUCGAGUUGUUUGGGAAUGCAGCUCAAAAUGGGUGGUAAAUUUCAUCUAAAGCUAAAUAUGGGCCAGAGACCGAUAGCGCACAAGUAGAGUGAUCGAAAGAUGAAAAGCACUUUGGAAAGAGAGUUAAACAGUACGUGAAAUUGUUGAAAGGGAAGCGCUUGCACCCAGACUUGGGCGCUGCCGAUCACCUUGCGGUCUCCGCGAGUGCACUCGACAGCGCACAGGCCAGCAUCGGUUCGGGUGGCUGGAUAAAGGCCGUAGGAACGUAGCUCUCUUCGGGGAGUGUUAUAGCCUACGGUGCCAUGCAGCCCAGCCGGACCGAGGACCGCGCCUUCGGGCUAGGAUGCUGGCGUAAUGGGUGUAAGCGACCCGUCUUGAAACACGGACCAAGGAGUCUAACAUCUAUGCGAGUGUUUGGGUGGUAAACCCAUACGCGGAAUGAAAGUGAACGUAGGUGAGAGCCCCUUUGGGGCGCAUCAUCGACCGAUCCUGAGUCUUCG
rnacentral:rRNA from 2 species